ACAGAUAUCAAUGCAUUGAUUUUGGGUUUGUUAAAAAGCUUUGCAUUUCAAACAAAUGAAGUUAAUGCCGUAUCUAACCCCGUCGAGAUGAAAGGGCGUCUUUACGCACCAGGAUCCGUGAUAAAGACCAGACGGUGUCUGAUGCAGAUCAGUCAGGUAACAGAUACAUUCAGUCAAGUUGUAAAACAUACAGGCGUAAAUAAAUCAACGUGUAUGUGUAUUAAAGAUUUAUGUUAUUAGGGUAUCUUCUUCUGAAGUUUAUUAUAUUUAGAGGCGUUCUCAAGAGACGCCCACACGGGGGGGUACCCAGGCUUUAAAAACUAAAAGUUUUGUCAUACUGAUUACCUGCAAAAUUAACUUCAAGUCGUGCUACGCCACAAUAAACAAUAACGAAACAAUGGCGGACAACUACCAGGGUGAGUUUUUUAUUUUUAUUUUAUUCAUUUUAUUUUAUACAAAUGAUUUAAAUAUAUUUUAAAGUGAAUAUUUGUUUAAUGUAUGGUGGAUGAUUUCUAGACGGUUUCGAGAAUCAGGACUUCGAUGAAGGUUUGGAUCAGAUCCUUGAAGAGUUAUUUGAUGAGAACGUGUUGUUUGCUUGUGAUGAACCCGGUGCUGUUAAUAACGACGAGCAAGAUGUUGGCAACAAUCAGGAGCUGAUAACCCCUCCAGAAAACGUUGCGCAAGAAGUUGAGAUUAGCACCGAAUCACAACACGCCCUAGGACACGUCACAAAUCCUGCCUCCGCCGACGCGCCAGAUCCCGAGGGUGAUUCUCACAAUCUCCCAGAUGUCUCAAACGUACGCACCGAAGCUAGCGUUACGUGUAGAGU